UUGGAGGGCAAGUCUGGUGCCAGCAGCCGCGGUAAUUCCAGCUCCAAUAGCGUAUAUUAAAGUUGUUGCAGUUAAAAAGCUCGUAGUUGAAUUUCGGAAUCUGUCCGUCGGUCGGGCUUCACUGUCCGUACUGGUGUGAUGGGUUUCUACCUUCUGAAUAAUCGGCAUGUCAUUAAUUUGGUGCGCCGGGGAAGCAGAACUAUUACCUUGAAAAAAUUAGAGUGCUUAAAGCAGGCUAUCGCCUGAAUAGAUUAGCAUGGAAUAAUAAAAUAGGACGGCAUGGUUCUAUUUUGUUGGUUUCUAGGAUCACCGUAAUGAUUAAUAGGGAUAGUUGGGGGCAUUAGUAUUCAAUUGUCAGAGGUGAAAUUCUUGGAUUUAUUGAAGACUAACUUCUGCGAAAGCAUUUGCCAAGGAUGUUUUCAUUAAUCAAGAACGAGAGUUAGGGGAUCGAAGACGAUCAGAUACCGUCGUAGUCUUAACCAUAAGCUAUGCCGACUAGGGAUCGGACGAUGUUAAUUUUUUAAUGACUCGUUCGGCGCCUUACGGGAAAC
rnacentral:rRNA from 1 species